GAUGAACGCUGGCGGCGUGCUUAACACAUGCAAGUCGAACGAAGCACCUUGAUUUGAUUCUUCGGAUGAAGAUCUUGGUGACUGAGUGGCGGACGGGUGAGUAACGCGUGGGUAACCUGCCUCAUACAGGGGGAUAACAGUUAGAAAUGACUGCUAAUACCGCAUAAGACCACAGCACCGCAUGGUGCAGGGGUAAAAACUCCGGUGGUAUGAGAUGGACCCGCGUCUGAUUAGGUAGUUGGUGGGGUAACGGCCUACCAAGCCGACGAUCAGUAGCGGACCUGAGAGGGUGACCGGCCACAUUGGGACUGAGACACGGCCCAAACUCCUACGGGAGGCAGCAGUGGGGAAUAUUGCACAAUGGGGGAAACCCUGAUGCAGCGACGCCGCGUGAGCGAUGAAGUAUUUCGGUAUGUAAAGCUCUAUCAGCAGGGAAGAAAAUGACGGUACCUGACUAAGAAGCACCGGCUAAAUACGUGCAAGCCGCCGCCGUAA
rnacentral:rRNA from 1 species